UGCGCAAUCCGCAUAGAUGGGGCACUAGCAAGCGUGGACUUGAGCAUGCGCAGACGUCUGCGCGUGUGGCGGGCUCCUGAGACGGGCUUAAAGGAAGAGUUUGCCCUUGUGCAGAGGGGCCGAGGAAAGUACAGGGGAGCUAUGUGAACUUCUCUGCAGAAAAACUUUCGGGUCUUAUGUGUUCCAACUCCGUUGAAUGAGAGAAAGUGCCUGUGCAAGUGGGGGAGAGAGGGAGAGAGAGAGAAUCCCAAGCAGGCUCCAUACUCGGAGCAGAGCCAAACGUGGGCCCCGAUCCCACAACCCUGAGAUCAUGACCUGAGCUGAAAUCAAGAGUUGGAUGCUCAACUGACUGAGCCACCCAGGUGCCCAGGCAUCUAAUAUUUUUAAUAGCACAACAUCAGAAUAAUUUAGUUGUCUUUACAAGAUGUAACAUAGUUAAAAAUAGAUCCAACAUUCAUAAUCUGAAUUUUGCUUGUGUCACUAGUUGUUUGACUUGGGCACAUUACUCGUACUCCCUGAGCUUUACUUUCCCCAUUUGUAAAAUAGGAACAUGGAGGAGACGAGACCAUUGUCUUGAUUAAAUGAGAUGUAAUCUCUCAA